GACGAACGCUGGCGGCGUGCUUAACACAUGCAAGUCGAACGGAAAGGCCCUGCUUUUGUGGGGUGCUCGAGUGGCGAACGGGUGAGUAACACGUGAGUAACCUGCCCUUGACUUUGGGAUAACUUCAGGAAACUGGGGCUAAUACCGGAUAGGAGCUCCUGCUGCAUGGUGGGGGUUGGAAAGUUUCGGCGGUUGGGGAUGGACUCGCGGCUUAUCAGCUUGUUGGUGGGGUAGUGGCUUACCAAGGCUUUGACGGGUAGCCGGCCUGAGAGGGUGACCGGCCACAUUGGGACUGAGAUACGGCCCAGACUCCUACGGGAGGCAGCAGUGGGGAAUAUUGCACAAUGGGCGGAAGCCUGAUGCAGCAACGCCGCGUGCGGGAUGACGGCCUUCGGGUUGUAAACCGCUUUCGCCUGUGACGAAGCGUGAGUGACGGUAAUGGGUAAAGAAGCACCGGCUAACUACGUGCCAGCAGCCGCGGUGAUACGUAGGGUGCGAGCGUUGUCCGGAUUUAUUGGGCGUAAAGGGCUCGUAGGUGGUUGAUCGCGUCGGAAGUGUAAUCUUGGGGCUUAACCCUGAGCGUGCUUUCGAUACGGGUUGACUUGAGGAAGGUAGGGGAGAAUGGAAUUCCUGGUGGAGCGGUGGAAUGCGCAGAUAUCAGGAGGGACACCAGUGGCGAAGGCGGUUCUCUGGGCCUUUCCUGACGCUGAGGAGCGAAAGCGUGGGGAGCGAACAGGCUUAGAUACCCUGGUAGUCCACGCUGUAAACGGUGGGUACUAGGUGUGGGGUCCAUUCCACGGGUUCCGUGCCGUAGCUAACGCUUUAAGUACCCCGCCUGGGGAGUACGGCCGCAAGGCUAAAACUCAAAGGAAUUGACGGGGCCCCGCACAAGCGGCGGAGCAUGCGGAUUAAUUCGAUGCAACGCGUAGAACCUUACCUGGGUUUGACAUGGAUCGGGAGUGCUCAGAGAUGGGUGUGCCUCUUUUGGGGUCGGUUCACAGGUGGUGCAUGGCUGUCGUCAGCUCGUGUCGUGAGAUGUUGGGUUAAGUCCCGCAACGAGCGCAACCCUUGUUCACUGUUGCCAGCACGUUAUGGUGGGGACUCAGUGGAGACCGCCGGGGUCAACUCGGAGGAAGGUGGGGAUGACGUCAAGUCAUCAUGCCCCUUAUGUCCAGGGCUUCACGCAUGCUACAAUGGCUGGUACAGAGAGUGGCGAGCCUGUGAGGGUGAGCGAAUCUCGGAAAGCCGGUCUCAGUUCGGAUUGGGGUCUGCAACACGACCUCAUGAAGUCGGAGUCGCUAGUAAUCGCAGAUCAGCAACGCUGCGGUGAAUACGUUCCCGGGGCU
rnacentral:rRNA from 1 species